UAGAAUGUCAUGAAAAGCUAUCAGUAUUGUUCAUGGUGGUGGACGAAACUCUGGAUGCUAUAUUUGGAGAUAUAACAUUUCCCCAAGACUAGAUAUAUUAUCAACUCUUUAUUUCCCUUGGCACUACUUAAUGUGACACCAGUAUAUUUCCAGAAUGACAUUCCUGUCGAAUUAUUUUUAGAGAUGAAAGUAGGCUACAAAGUUCUUUGUAAACAUUAAUGCAAAACUCAACAGAGUAACCUGAAAUCAAAUGUGUGGCUAAACAAGCAUUUAUUCAUGUUUGAACUGUUUUUUUUUACAUUUUUGUUUGAGUUAUGAACAUUAUAAAUUGAA
rnacentral:lncRNA from 1 species